GGAUUGGUUACAAGCAUUGUCUCUGGCAUGAGAUCUAAGGUACAACUGACCUUGGAGACUGUCCGGACAGACACAAUCAACUCAGGAUUGAAUAAGGACUGGGAAUGGCUGAGCAUUUACAAACAUUUAAUCUAUCUCCCCUUAUGGCUGUAUUUACCCGUGAGUCUUCCUGUAUGUGUGUGUGCUGGCAAGUGAGUAAUGAAGUCUUGCAGUGACAUGUGAUCAUGUCACCUGAACUGGAAUCCAUCUUUAACCUGGCGCUUUUCCAGUGAGGGGGUGUGGAAACCCUGAGGGACAAAGGAUUCCCGCCUUAUGCAAAAGAUAUAUAAAGGGGUGGAAGAGAACAAGGAGAGGGAGGAGCCAUCAUGAAGAAUCCCCUAGCCAUCACCUGAGCUGGAACAAGAGCUGUACCAGGGGAAAGAAUUGUGCCCAGGCCUGGAAGGUGUCCAGUCUGAGAAAAACUUACUGAAGCAUCUCUGAGGGUGAGAUUAUCUGUAUUUAGUUUGAUUAGACAUAGAUUUGCGCAUUUUAUUUUCUUUUGCUUGGUGACUUACUUUGUUCUGUCUGCAUCCGAAGAAGUGGGCUGUAGUCCACGAAAGCUUAUGCUCUAAUAAAUUUGUUAGUCUCUAAGGUUCCACAAGUACUCCUGUUCUUUUUGCGGAUACAGACUAACACGGCUGCUACUCUGAAACCUUUGUUCUGUCUGUUACUACU